rnacentral:rRNA from 1 species
UACGUAGGGUGCAAGCGUUGUCCGGAAUUAUUGGGCGUAAAGAGCUCGUAGGCGGUUUGUCGCGUCGGCUGUGAAAACCUGGGGCUCAACCCCGGGCCUGCAGCCGAUACGGGCAAACUAGAAUUCGGUAGGGGAGACUGGAAUUCCUGGUGUAGCGGUGAAAUGCGCAGAUAUCAGGAGGAACGCCGGUGGCGAAGGCGGGUCUCUGGGCCGAUAUUGACGCUGAGGAGCGAAAGCGUGGGGAGCAAACAGG